CUGCACACUGGGACAAGCUGGGAAUGGGUUGCCUCCUUUCGAGUUAUUGAUAGCUUUAGUUUUUCCCCCAGUAAAUAUUUUGGAGUGAAAACUCAGGACACAACAGGAGUGACAAACAUGAACUGCUGGAUACGCAGAGAGCACAGGAAUCAUCUUUGUCUGUUUCUUCCUCGUUGUACAGUUUCAGAGGUUGACUCCAGCGGGACGCAUGGCAGCUUGCAGGAUACAUCUGUGGCCUGUGCCAGGGGGGAGAGCUGUCCCUAAGGAGUCCAGAACAGCGAGUGAAUGUCAAGUGUAGACUCGAGAGAAGAGUUUUGCUUCAGGUGGCAGGAAACCCAUGCGCCCAUGAGAGAUGAAUACGGGGAUCUCGAGAGGCUGCAAACCAGGGGCAAAGGUCAACUGCGUUCCCCACAAAGGAAAAUCACAUCUGUGCUCUCUUAACUGAAAGCUGAAAAUAAAAAGCUGGUUUUGCUAUGAUUUGCCUUUCCCUGCUUUAAACGCAAUCUUUUCUUCUUCACCUAAUAGAGUUGGUAGAUGAAUUAUCUUAUCAUUUUCUAUGGAAAUUUUUAUAAAGUUAUAAUAAAAUGUGCAUGGCAAAACAUUUUCUGAGGCUUUCCAAACUUUCUCUGAAAUCUUAAGUUACUUUAAGCAAACAAAUAAUUUUCCCUAAGUCCUACCCAAUAAAAUUAAUUUAUGAGUUCAA